ensembl:lncRNA
AAAUGCGACCUCGGAACUGAGUUGGGCUAUACUACUCCCUCCCUACCGGACUGAGGCGAACCGUACCGCACCCUGCCGUAAUACAGCUCCACAGCUUCCGGUUCCAAGAUGGCAACGUUCUACACCCGGUGUUUACAGGAGCUGCCGACAAUAAAUAGCACAGAUGUGCAUCGUUUAUGUCGGGAAACAAAAACUCUGACAAGCAAAUUGGAGAAGGGGUUUAGGCUGUAUGCUGCGACCUACAUUCACAGCUACGAAGAUCAAGCUUUGUGAUUCAUCCCCAGUGAUGCUAAGUCACCACCACUGCUCCUGUGUGGCUGGCACUGUUCUGUGCAACCAUUUAGUAGCAUUAUUGUUUCAGACAGCACACUAUUCAUCGUUGAAGCUUCCUGUCGUGCCCCCUGUGCAUAGCUGUACGGAGUCGGAGCAACAAUGGCACAAGCCGUGAACAAUGGGAGUAAAGCCUGGACCAGUAAAUACCAUGGUUUUUACCAAACCUGUCCCAAAUCGGAUGGUCCAGACUGGAGUUAGCCUCAGUCACCUCACUUUAACCUGUAUUGUGACUUGGGCCAGUACGCAACGGUUGCUCUACUGGAUGGCACCGUAACUAAUCCCUGGCACUCGGCUGACAGAAAGAGUAGUGUUCCUGUCGGGGCUGUAUCAUUGGGAGGCGCUGUUUGGUGGUUUGCUGUGCACUUGCAUGCAGAUAAGUACGGUGUUACCUGUGAAAUUUGGAGAGGAGAGAGAGAGGUCAUGUUUCCCGAAGCUCCGCUAGGCAUUGGAAAGAACUACUUAAUUCAUCGUUCAGAUCUACUUUAUCUUAUUUUAUUUACCUAACAGUAUAUAGUUUGUUUCCGUCGUCCUCAAUCGCUCGAUUCAACAAUACAUUUUGG